rnacentral:misc_RNA from 1 species
GAUGAAGAACGCAGCGAAAUGCGAUAAGUAAUGUGAAUUGCAGAAUUCAGUGAAUCAUCGAAUCUUUGAACGCACAUUGCGCCCGCCAGUAUUCUGGCGGGCAUGCCUGUUCGAGCGUCAUUUCAACCAUCAAGCCCCCGGCUUGUGUUGGGGACCUGCGGCUGCCGCAGGCCCUGAAAAGCAGUGGCGGGCUCGCUGUCACACCGAGCGUAGUAGCAUACAUCUCGCUCUGGGCGUGCUGCGGGUUCCCGCCGUUAAACCACCUUCAUAACCCAAGGUUGACCUCGGAUCAGGUAGGAAGACCCGCUGAACUUAAGCAUAUCAAUAAGCGGAGGA